AACUGUCAAUGAUGAUCUUGUUUAUAAAACAAUGGGAAUCUCUCUGAAAAAGAGUGAAAGAUGAAUUUUAACUGAUGCAGUG